UUCAACAAGAUCGCUGAUUUCGUACUCCCACCGCACAUUUUUGCGGCUCAUUGUGUUAUGACGUCACGCAAACCGUUCAGUGAAAAUUAUAGCGUUACUAAGCUAGAAAUUCGCACCACGAGCUCAUCAUGAGCUCAUCACACAGAGUAGAUUAUAUGUCAAAGUUGCGACUCAACGCCUCUUUGAAAAAAGUUCCUAUUCUUGCAACGCAAAGCCAUUACAAUGGCUAAUUUUUCCUAUUUUUGUAAGAAAAAGAGCCUGUAAUUACCUACAAAGUGAUGUGAAAGUAGUAACUGAGGAUACGUGAGGAUUGCAAACCAGUCUCCCUGGAUAUUUAAAGCAUAUUUAAAGGAGUUGACGGACAAUUUGACUGAAGACUUUAGCUUCAUGAAACUAGCUGAUUUGAGCGUAACAAAUAAGGUUUUUACUGCGUUGCAACUGGCUCCAGACUGGAAUUUAUAACCAAGACUAAAUAUUCAAGUGCCUAUGUGAAGUACCUACUUAACAACAAGUUGUAUUAAGAUCUUAUGAAGUUAAUACCUACAUAAGAAACUAAAUUGGCAUAUCAUUCUGCUACUGAAUAAUCAGAAAGCAGUUUUUUAGCUAAUAGAAGAGAAGCUUAUGCUUGAUAUUUCAGAACACUGAUAAUAAUAAAUUGUGAUGUGAUUUAAUAUAUCAUACUUAAUAAACACAAAAUACAAAUACAGCAAAAACCAUGUUUCAUUUCAUUAUUUAAAUGUUGAUGUUGCACUUGACUAAGAGGUCAUUCAUGAUACUAUUGAUUUAUAAAGGCUUGAUAGGAAGUAUUCCUUCUUAAGAGUCCGGCAAUGAUAACAUUGCAACAUGGAAGAAAUUGUAUAAGUAACAUUGUAAGUUGUACUUU